AACGCACGAGACCUGCGGACCUGCGGAGGGAUCAUUAAUGAGAAACUGCCCCUCGCGGGUAGAUCUCCCACCCUUUGUAAACUUACCUUUGUUGCUUUGGCAGGCCCGUCUCCGGACCGCCGGCUUCGGCUGGCCAGUGCCUGCCAGAGGAUUCUAAAACUCUGUCUGUCAGUGUUGUCUGAGUCUAUAUACAAUCGUUAAAACUUUCAACAAUGGAUCUCUAGAUCGGAAGAGCACACG
rnacentral:misc_RNA from 1 species